AGUGAUGAGAUUUGAUCU
rnacentral:snRNA from 1 species